rnacentral:lncRNA from 1 species
CUCUCUCAUGGUUGUAUUAAGAAACUAAAUUCGAUCAAUAAGUCAGUUGUGUCAACCUCGACAUCCUUGUCACACUUUGAAAAUACAGACUAGAACGUCGAGAAAUAGAUUUGUAAAGGAAAAAAGGUCCAAGAUUGAUUGUCAAAAAAAAAAGGGAUGAAUCAAUGACAUGAUGCAAAAAUUUGGAAUUAUAGAUGGCACACAAAUGUUUUUUCUUAUCUCCCUUCUUGAUUUCAAAAUAGUGCAGCUCAUUUACUCUCUAUCAAGAAGCUCCUCAUUUUUUGAUCAAACAAAUAAUAUCUUUUCGAGGUCCAAGGUCAGAUUGUUGUGAAAUUUGGAUAGCAAGUGCACAACGCAUUGGGCUUCAAAUCUGCAUGUUUAAGAUCAAGAUCCGACAGCUCAUUCUUUAGUUAUAGCAAAUACAUUUCCAUUUUACUUUACUUUCUUGUCUUUACACAGAUUUGCAAGUACACCGUGUGAAAAAAAUUAUGCUUUUACUUUAUUCUGUAUUGUAGCUAAUUAUUGCACGUCCAGACUUCACCUAAUAAUGGGCACAUCAAUGUGUAGAAGUUCAAGAGCAUCCAUAAUGGAUCCACCAGAGAUCGUCAUUAUAGAAAUUCUGCUACAUCUGUGGAUUAAAGGGAUUGUAAUGUGCAAGUUGUGUGCAAAACUUGACAAAAUCUAAUUUCUAUCAUCACUUUGCACUUUCAAAAGCCAGCAUUAUAAUCUGACCCUCGGAUGUUAUACUAAUUUCAAGAAUGAUUUACUUUAUCGAGCCAUCUAUAAUCAAUAUGACUGAAUCUGAGCCACAAGUAAACAUGAAGCUUGAUACCAAAUUGAAGAUUCCUUUGCACAAUGUUGACACACAAGAGAUUACUUUCUAUGAGCAGGAAUACUAAGAGGAAGUGAUCCAUUAACCUGGAUACCAAGAAUGACAAGAUCGCUAUAGUGAAUUUGAGGAACUGCUUCCUUUGUUUGUUUGAGCCCCCAGCCCCUGUUAUAUGCAAUCUGGUUAUAAAUGAUUAUAUGGAUCUUCCAGCAGCCGAAAAUGCUGACGAGAGUAUGUUAACUUGUGGGUUUGGAUUUUCUCAACAGACUCCAGGUAAAAGUCAGCAUGAUAAAUCUCCAAUUGAAGGAACAACAUUCUAUCCUAAUAGGGUGGUUGAGAUACACACUCUUGGGCCUAAAUCAUUGAGAAACAUUUGAUUUUCUCCCAGCUUCAAUUGGAGAAACAUAUGUCUCCAACCUAUCUGAGUAGUGUCCUUCAAUGGAUCAGUGACCGAUGGAGUGGGAUGGAUCUUGUACUGUCAAAUUCAGAUCAUUCGCUAGAAUAUGCAUAGGAAUAAUUGGAGAUUGUCAAUGUUCAUCUGUUACCUCUAGUGUAGAUUUGAUUGACAUAUGGGUAUUGAAGAGUUGGGGUGUUCGAAAAUCAUGGUCAAAGUUGAUCUCUAUCAAUAUCCCUACACUGGGGAGGUGGAAUUCCUGCUAUUUCCAGCUGAUAAGCUGCUGCGAGAAAUUUUUUAUAUUCCUUGAGAACAAGAUAAUAUAUUAAUAUGAUCCUAACAGGGAAGAAUUGAAGACACUCAGACUUCAUAGGAUGGGAUUUAUUUCUGCAGCAGUAGUGCAUACUCCGAGUUUUUUCUCCCACAAGGAUGAGACUGGAGUUAAUAUUAAUUUGAUGUAACUAUGUAAGACCAUCUUCUUCUUAGCAUUACUUGAUUUACUAGCUAAUUUUAUCUGUAAAAGAUACUUUAGUGCUUUUGUGUUUACUAAUUAAGCAGGAAUAUAAAAUAUCUACAUUCUUAAUGAACAU